AGGACGAACGCUGGCGGCGUGCCUAAUACAUGCAAGUCGAGCGGACAGAUGGGAGCUUGCUCCCUGAUGUUAGCGGCGGACGGGUGAGUAACACGUGGGUAACCUGCCUGUAAGACUGGGAUAACUCCGGGAAACCGGGGCUAAUACCGGAUGSUUGUUUGAACCGCAUGGUUCAGACAUAAAAGGUGGCUUCGGCUACCACUUACAGAUGGACCCGCGGCGCAUUAGCUAGUUGGUGAGGUAACGGCUCACCAAGGCGACGAUGCGUAGCCGACCUGAGAGGGUGAUCGGCCACACUGGGACUGAGACACGGCCCAGACUCCUACGGGAGGCAGCAGUAGGGAAUCUUCCGCAAUGGACGAAAGUCUGACGGAGCAACGCCGCGUGAGUGAUGAAGGUUUUCGGAUCGUAAAGCUCUGUUGUUAGGGAAGAACAAGUGCCGUUCAAAUAGGGCGGCACCUUGACGGUACCUAACCAGAAAGCCACGGCUAACUACGUGCCAGCAGCCGCGGUAAUACGUAGGUGGCAAGCGUUGUCCGGAAUUAUUGGGCGUAAAGGGCUCGCAGGCGGUUUCUUAAGUCUGAUGUGAAAGCCCCCGGCUCAACCGGGGAGGGUCAUUGGAAACUGGGGAACUUGAGUGCAGAAGAGGAGAGUGGAAUUCCACGUGUAGCGGUGAAAUGCGUAGAGAUGUGGAGGAACACCAGUGGCGAAGGCGACUCUCUGGUCUGUAACUGACGCUGAGGAGCGAAAGCGUGGGGAGCGAACAGGAUUAGAUACCCUGGUAGUCCACGCCGUAAACGAUGAGUGCUAAGUGUUAGGGGGUUUCCGCCCCUUAGUGCUGCAGCUAACGCAUUAAGCACUCCGCCUGGGGAGUACGGUCGCAAGACUGAAACUCAAAGGAAUUGACGGGGGCCCGCACAAGCGGUGGAGCAUGUGGUUUAAUUCGAAGCAACGCGAAGAACCUUACCAGGUCUUGACAUCCUCUGACAAUCCUAGAGAUAGGACGUCCCCUUCGGGGGCAGAGUGACAGGUGGUGCAUGGUUGUCGUCAGCUCGUGUCGUGAGAUGUUGGGUUAAGUCCCGCAACGAGCGCAACCCUUGAUCUUAGUUGCCAGCAUUCAGUUGGGCACUCUAAGGUGACUGCCGGUGACAAACCGGAGGAAGGUGGGGAUGACGUCAAAUCAUCAUGCCCCUUAUGACCUGGGCUACACACGUGCUACAAUGGACAGAACAAAGGGCAGCGAAACCGCGAGGUUAAGCCAAUCCCACAAAUCUGUUCUCAGUUCGGAUCGCAGUCUGCAACUCGACUGCGUGAAGCU
rnacentral:rRNA from 1 species